rnacentral:rRNA from 1 species
UACGGAGGGUGCAAGCGUUGUCCGGAUUUAUUGGGUUUAAAGGGUGCGUAGGCGGUCUUUUAAGUCAGUGGUGAAAUCCUCCAGCUCAACUGGAGAACUGCCAUUGAUACUGGAAGACUUGAGUAUAGUUGAGGUAGGCGGAAUUGACAGUGUAGCGGUGAAAUGCAUAGAUAUUGUCAAGAACACCGAUUGCGAAGGCAGCUUACUAAACGUAUAACUGACGCUGAGGCACGAAAGUGCGGGGAUCAAACAGG